GGAAAAAGGUUCCGGCCUCAGCCGGCGCACCUGGCGGAGGAGGAACCUCGCGACGCGCUCUCGGGCAUCGGUUUCUCCCAGCAAAGCUUGGAGGGUUUAGCUGCGCGGAGAGCUCAGCGAGCUCUUCUGUGUCUGUUUGGGGCGUGUGGGCUCCGGGAGCGUGAGGACCGGGAAGCUAGGAGGCUCCUUCCCUUCUGGCGGCUCCCUCACUGAGACCGGGCGGUUUGGUUGCGGGGGAAGUGGAGACGAGCCACCCUUGACCUUUGACUGCAAGAACUCACCUUGAGCAGGAUAGAGCAAACAUUGAGUGGGCCAGACACUGUUCUGAAAAAUACGCAGUCGACUUUUGAACAGCACAGGCUUGAACUGCAUGCGGCCACUAAUACUCGGACUUCCUUCUGCCUCUGCCAUCCCUAAGACAGCAAGACCCACCCCUCCUGCUCCUCAGCCUACUCGAUGUGAUGAUGUCUGGCUUCCUUUUCCCUUCAAUGGAAUAACAUAUACAAACUCUACCUAAGAGUGCUGUGUGAAGUACAUGCCAGCCUACAAGACAUGUCUCUAACCAAGUCGAAAGAGUGCAGUAUUCGUUCAUUCACUCAUUCAUUCAUUCAACAAAUGUUUAUUAAUAGGUAUUGUUUACCAAGCACUGUGUGUUAAGGAGAAGAUGGUAUGAAACAAGCAGACCCAGGCCUCAGGGAAGAGAGGCUGUUACAUUCAGAGACAAUUACCAUACACUACAAUGAAUGCUUUGAUGAAGGGAGGCAAAAAAACAAAAACAAAAACAACAACAACAAAAACCCCACAACGAUGUGGAUCCCUCCCUGUGGGGGUGAGGAGAAAGGAAAACAGCUUCAGGGAUCUCCAAGCCCUUGUGCCGGCCACUCUUCUUUCUUCUCUUCCUUCCUCCUCUGUCUUUCCUUUCAUCCUUCCUCCUCCCUUCUCUUUGGACAUCACUAAUAAAAGAGAAACAGAUGUCAGAGACGUAGACAUGGGGAGGGCUUUAAUAUCUAGCCUUACGGAACAAAAUCCUUGGGACCCAAUAGAACUUAGUGUUGCAGAGCUUUCUCCUGAGUUCAGCUAAAACCAGGCUCUUGUCACACGACCAGGGAAGAUUAGGCUCCCGGACACAUAGAAGGGUGAGGAAAACAGAAUUUAUUGGGCGAAAAGGAAAAAGAAAGAAAAACUCUCAGCGAAGUGAUAGGGGGUCUUGCCAACAACCUCUCUCCUCACAAAUUGAAUCCUAGGUUACCACAGAGGCCAGGUUCCUCUCCCCUGCAAACUUCGUGAACUUCCCCUGGCUCUACCCCUUUCCCCCAGUAAGAAGGUGGGCCUCAUUUAGAGAAAAUCGUUUGGGAAAGGGCAGGCUUCAUCAGGGACCAGCAAUCCAGUUUCUCAGCCUUCAGGCUGUUUUAGCCUUGGAGGUGGGGUUUCACCUGGGACACUUGGCUGCCCCCUGUCUCUAACAUUAGAUGUCUCUAACAUCUAUUCCCCUCCCUAUCUUUGCUGGACACCUGACUCUCUCCUAGAGCAACCCAGCAAACAUCUGUCUGUUGUGUACUUAAAUACCCCCACAGAUUGGGAACUGUCUCCUUUAUGGGAAAGCUCUUUAUAUUUGGGACACCCCAGUUUGUUCAUUCAGCACAUUUUCUUUUCAACUUUUUUAGAGACAAGGUCUCACUCUGUCACCCAGACUGGAAUGCAGUAGCGUGAUCAUAGCUCACUGUAACCUCGAACUCCUGGGCUCAAGUGAUCCUCCUGCCUCGGCCUCCCAGGAGCUAAGGGCUACAGGCGUGUGCCGCCACUCCCAGCUAGUUUUUUAAUUUUUAAAAAUUUUUUGCAGAGGUGGCGUCUUGCUAUGUUGACCAAGUUUGUCUCAAAUUCCUGGCUUCAAGCCAUCCUCCCACCUCUGCCUCCCAAAACACUGGGAUUUCAGCCGUGAGCCACCAACGCACCUGGCCUCAUUCUCCAACUCUUUACAAAGCUUCAAAGACAUCCCAGACGCUGGGAAUACAGAGACCAAUCAGAUACAAACCCUGCCCUCCAGCUGUUCGCAGCAUUCUCGCUCCUUUGCGGCCACCUCUUCUGCCCUGCUUUUCCACCUUGUCCCUUCUUCUGUCAAGUGGCUUUUGGCUUGGUCACCACUUUGCUGGUGUUUCUCUCCAGAAGUGAGUCCCAGACUUCAGGUGUGGUCUGACUCACGUCCUAUCGGGUCUCUCCCUCUGAAAACCGUGCUUGUAUUAAAGCAGCUUGGGAGCUCAUUAAUGUUCUUGGCAGCCAGGUCCUACCCCUGACAGUGCAGGAGCUGCCUGUCCACUUAGGGGACCCCUGUCUUUUUCACACGUGAGUCUGUUAAGCCUCACCUCCCUCAUCGCCUCCAUGUGUGCGGCAGUUUUCAACAAAUGUUCAGAGUACAACACCUGCCCUUGUUAAACGUAAUCUUGUUACACUAGUCCCCUUGUUUUAACUUCUCAAACAUUUUGAGUCUUGCUCCUGUUAACCAAGAAGACCUAGAAAGCUCCACAUCUCCUCUUAAAAUGUGUGUGUGUGUGUGUGUGCGUGUAUUCGUACGCACACCCCUGGGUACAGCUCUGAGGAGGCCACCUAUAGGUUUCUGAACAAUCUUCCAUGAAUACAGCUCAUUCAUACACACAUUUAUUUAUUCUGCAACAUUUAUUCAACAUUCCCUAACAAAACUUUCAUUCUUGAGCACUUUUUGCCCAAGCAUUACAGGGAUAAUAGAAGCAAACGAAUCCAUACUAAGGAGUGAAUUAUUGAUAGUGCUCACCUGCAUUUUUUUAAGCAGAAAGUAGUAUUUAUUUUGGCCUAAUUUCCACCUGUCAGAAAAUCAAAACAGUGAUGAAUUGCAUAUUGCUAUACUACAUUUUAUUAUCAGCAUCAAAAUUCAAGUGUGCUCUGCUUAAAAUUCAGAAGACAAACUUUCUCAUUUAGAAAAGUUCAUUCUGUUAGUGACUGAUCAGAAUGGAAUAAAAAUUUCAUGAUGCAUACAUACUGAUUGAAUUUUUUUUUCUUUUUUUAAAAAAAAUGUAUUUUAUUCUGGAUUCAAGGUGUGCAUGUGCAUAUCUGCUACACAGGUAUAAUUAUGUACUGGUGGGAUUGGGCAUCUAGUGUGUCCAUUACCCAAAUAGUGAACAUUGUACCCAAUAGGUAUUCUUCAACUCUAUCCCCCACUCUAAUGAUCCCCCCUUUGGGAGUCCCCACUGUCUAUAGUUUCCAUCUUUAUGUCCAUCUUUAUGUGCCCAUUGUUUAGCUCCCACUUACAAGUGAGAACAUAUGGUAUUCAGUUUUCUGUUUCUGUGUUAGUUUGUUUAGGAUAAUGACCUCCAGCUCCAUCCAUGUAGUUACAAAGGACAUGGUUUUGUUCUUCUUUUUUUUUUAAUGACUGCUUCACCUUCUUCUUAACUAUCCCAAGGUGUUUGGUUCUUAAACUGAUUGGUGAAAUCUAGCAGUCAUAGCAGAAGCAAGUGGAGACAAGGCUUGUUUAAAUAGUAUCAUUAAGCUGACUCUGACAGAGGCCUUUCCAUACACACCCAACCCUCUCCCCUAUCAGAGCUUCUAGAGAGGGAGGCUGGCUAACCCUGGGAUCCAGAAAUAUUUGGAGAAUCCUCGGGCCGGGCGUGGUGGCUCACGCCUGUAAUCCCAACACUUUGGGAGGUUGAGGCGGGUGGAUCAUGAGGUCAGGAGAUUGAGACCAUCCUGGCUGACACGGUGUACUAAAAAUACAAAAAAUUAGCCGGGCGUGGUGGUGGGUGCCUGUAGUCCCAGCUACUCGGGAGGCUGAGGCAGGAGAAUGGCAUGAACCCCGGAGGCGAAGCUUGCAGUGAGCCGAGAUCGUGCCACUGUACUCCAGCCUGGGAGACAGAGCGAGACUCUGUCUCACAAAAAUAAUAAUAAUAAUAAUAAUAAUAAUAAUUUGGAGAAUCCUCAACAUUCUUUCUGCUCAUCCCAGUAACCCACUUGACAGCAUGGAGCUCAGAAAUGUGGGGACCCCAGAAGCUCAAGAUCUUCAGCCCCAACUCACAACUUUCUCCCUUGCCAUUGGAAGGGAUUGAGGACCUUGGCUCAAAUCUCUGUUUCUCAAAGUGAUUUCUGGCUCAGCCUAUAUCCAG
rnacentral:lncRNA from 1 species